rnacentral:tRNA from 1 species
GCUCCCAUGGCGUAGUGGUCACUGCGCUCGCCUUGCACGCGGGAGACCCGGGUCCGAUUCCCGGCGGGGUCA